rnacentral:rRNA from 1 species
UACAGAGGUCUCAAGCGUUGCUCGGAUUCAUUGGGCGUAAAGGGUGCGUAGGCGGCGCGGUAAGUCGGGUGUGAAAUCUCGGAGCUUAACUUCGAAACUGCAUUCGAUACUGCCGUGCUUGAGGACUGGAGAGGAGACUGGAAUUUACGGUGUAGCGGUGAAAUGCGUAGAUAUCGUAAGGAAGACCAGUGGCGAAGGCGGGUCUCUGGACAGUUCCUGACGCUGAGGCACGAAGGCCAGGGGGAGCAAACGGGG